UACAGAGGUCUCAAGCGUUGUUCGGAUUCAUUGGGCGUAAAGGGUGCGUAGGCGGCGGCGUAAGUCGGGUGUGAAAUCCCAGGGCUCAACCCUGGAACUGCAUUCGAUACUGCGUCGCUGGAGGACUGGAGAGGAGACUGGAAUUCACGGUGUAGCAGUGAAAUGCGUAGAUAUCGUGAGGAAGGCCAGUGGCGAAGGCGAGUCUCUGGACAGUUCCUGACGCUGAGGCACGAAGGCCGGGGGAGCAAACGGG
rnacentral:rRNA from 1 species